CAAGAGUGAUCUUUCUUUGUGAUCUUUCUUUUCUUUCUUUCUUUGAAAGUUCGGCUGCCUCUUGAGAACCUUUUCAGUGGCAAGGUGAUGCAUCCUUCAACUUGCAAGUCUGUUUCCUAGACAAACACAUUCUCCAAAGGCCUAAGCAAAUACAGCUACAUUUGGGAUAGCAGAAGCCUUCUUUGCAAGUGGAAUAUAAUUGGAGGUGCGUGAGUCUAGGGGCCUCAGAUUGCAGAAGGGACUACGGGCAAGCAGCAGACCUUCUCUUCUGGAUCUUUGGACUUCAUUUAGAGAGUACUCCUCUCUAUUAAGGAGAAGUAUCUGUUUCACAGGGUGAAGAAGGAGGUGCCUUCCUCAACACUGGACCCAUAGAACUGACUUUCAAAAUCCUACUCCUGUGAGUAUCUCUACUGAUGUUAGUACAGCCUAGGUUUAUGCAUAGUUGGGUCUAGAAUUUUUUUUUAGAAAUCAGAUAAUACUGUGUAGCUUAGGUAGCAAAUUUGGUACUAAAGCUGUUUUGUUCCCCUGAAUUACUCUAGAAAUACACCUGUUUUCUUCUGGUGUCAACAAACUAACUGCAAAAAUGUGCUGGGCCAUAUUCUUCACUUGCACGAACAUAAGUCCUUUGACUUCCACAUAAACAAAAACAGACUUAGGCCCACUUGAUUCAUCAUUAGCCUUGCGGGUCUGAUCUGCUUUUUAGGAUGCACAACUAUGUCUUCUGGGGAAUCAGAAGACUGACUCUACUAAAUUUUAUGGUACUGGUGGUUAAUUUAUUCCUAAUAUAUUGAAUCAGCAGUUUCACUCUAUUGUACAGUGGCCUUUGAUUAAAGUCUUUGUGGUCUUCUCCAAGUCACACAUAUUUUAGUGUUAUCUGAAAGGAUUUCUAAUAUGUAAUGCUUCUUUCCUGUUUGGUGAUUUAUUGGAUAAAUUAUGAUUUCAUUUUCCUUACAGCUACCCCAUUUUUCCAGCUGACACUUAGAAUAAGAGUCUAUAGGCAAACUUCACCUCCUACAUUAGCUCUCAUUUGUAAAAUUUCUUAGAAAACAGCAACAUCGAAUUUUGACAGAGGUCAGUACAACACAGAGGGGUGGAUUGUCCAUAUUAAAGACAAAGUCCUAGUAAGAACUAAAUUUAUUUUCUGCAAAAUAAAUAUUCUAUUAAAACCAAAUCAACUAAGUAUAAUAUGGAAAAUAUUUUUAACUUGUGACACAAGAGACAUGCUAAUUUCAGAAAGACUCUUUAAUGUGGUAACACGCAGGCAAUCUCUCAACACACUUAGGGUCUCGUUCUUUCAAGUGCUGUGUGCCCUAAACACUGGUUUUUUGCAUGCAUUAACACAAGAGUUACUUAAAUUUGCUCUUGUUUAAGUUAUACUUUUAACAAGCUUGAUGUUUAUUUCCAAUACAGCAGUUCAAAGGGCUGUGGAGUAUGUGGAGUAGUAUAACCUUACUCUUUUAACGGAUGACACCUAUAAAGGUUGGUUUGUGUACGCAGCGUUGGACUGUAUUCACAGUUAUAGCAAUGGGAAUAAGCAAAUAAUCCUCUGAUGUCAUGACUAAAAAGGAGUUAUUUUAACAUAACAGCAGUGUAAAUGGGAGAAAAUCAAUUUUCCAGGUAAGUGGUCGUGAUAUCCAGGGUUGGCCACUGAUAAACCACACAAAGCUUAUAAUACAUUGGAUGUUCCAUACCAUUUCGAGUUAUCAUCAAAUCAGCAAUUUUAUAUUUUAAAUGUUCUUUAUCUUUGGAUGGCACAGCAUUUCAGUCUUUUUCAGGAAUUAAAAUAUGUUGGUUUAUGUUUUACUUUUCAUAGUCCCCUUAAUACGUUUGACAAAUAUGUAAGUGUAUAAGGGCAGUUAUUUCCUUCUGCCCAUAGCUGAAUCAUGGAAACAUAUGGAUCUGAAGUCUCAAGACUGGGAGCUGUAGUGUGCUAAACAGGAUAGAAAGUCACCUGUAAUACACCUUUGACACUAGAGGCUGGUGUUAUAGUAAAAUACUGCAUGUGCCAUGCAUAUGGACUCUACUAUGUUUUCUUCUAUUUUGUAACAGAACAUCCACAAAAAGCCACAGCAAAGCAGUAAGAAAUAAAGAGGAAAAUGACUUAAUGAUAAGGAAGAAAGUGAAAGAAAAUUCAGCGUUAUGAAGAGGGCUUGUCAUGUAUUAAACCAGUAUCCAUCUGACUUGAUAGAAAAAGUUGCUUAAAAUCACCGCCAAAGGAAGCUGAAGUCAUACAAGAAGGUUGUGAAGAAGCAGCGAGAACAAGUCAUGCAUGAUCCAAUGAGUUCCUGUACAUGGGGAUGAUCCAAAAGGCUUAGUACUUCUCUUUACAUCUUAAAAGCACUGCAGGAGGCUCUUGGCAUGCAGGUACUACCAUCUAGCUAAAUCCUUACAUCUAUGAACAUCAUCUUCAAAAAAAUAGCUCCUUUCUCAACAAAGUCAAGUGUAAAAGAGCAGAGAGUGCCAUGCUAUUAAAAACCACAGGAAGUGCUGAUUGAGUGAAUGUUUAAGGAAUAGGCAAGUGUGUACUAAAAUGUUUUUUCCAUUUAUCCUUUAGUUUGGCUUUGUUUCAUUUAUUCCCACUUCCUGUUUCCUGUAUUUUAAUUCGGAAAUCUCUGAAGUAUCAUUAAAAUAAGGUUGUCACAAUGCCACCCACGUCCCGUGCAGUCAUUAGUACUGCAGUUAGGAUUAAUGUUAAUGUUUAAAAAUAUCCUUGAAGAAACACUUUUUAUUUAGCCUGCUUGUUAUAUUGGUGAGAGGAACUUUUGUAGUACAAAACACAGAAUGAGCAGGAACCUUACAGGUAAAAACGACUGGAUCGUGACACAGAUCAGCCAGGCUCUGGCUCUUUCUGCUGUCACAGCUGGACACAGGUAUCAGAAUUCUGAGUCUCUAAAUUGAGUUCCUGUAUGAAAUAGAAGAUUAGUUGUGUGUUUGGAAAAAAAGGGAGACAGUCUGUGCAUCUACUUUAUUAGGUCUUUCUUAGCUCAUUUCUGAAUGACAGCAGGGCUGAUGAACAACAGAAUGAGGUUUCUCUGGUUACCUCCUGUUCGCCCACGAGUGCACCACACACCCCGCAACUGUGUGAGCCACGUUUUAACCAGAAUGGCACAAACUCAGCCAAUGGACAAGAGCUUGUAAUAAAAUGGCCACAUUUUCUUCAAAAGAUUAUUUUUUGCAUAGUUUGUGUUCAAGUGUCUGGCAAUCUACUACUCAUCUAGGUCUGAGAACCAUUACUUUGGUUUAAUGUGAGUUUUAUUUUUUAAGAUUUACUGUGACUAAAAUACUAAUUUUAUACCCAAAUGUAAGAAGAUGUAUUGAUUAAUCCAAAAUUUAUCCCAGAUUUAUUGGAGUAAAGUGUAUUGUGACUGUGCCUUUAAGUUUUUCUGAUAUGUAUUAGAAUUUUUUUUUAAUAUGGCUACAGUAGUCUAUACCAGGGCAAUUUUCCUGGUACAAGAAAUAGCCUGAAUGAUUUGGAAGUAUAAAUGAAUGCAAGAUUAUACAAAUCUUCAGCGUAAUUUCACUGAAAGGUAAUGGAUUGAAUUCUCUCUUUGGCUGUCUUUUUUUUUAACUAAUCUGCCUGAGGGUCUGUUUCUUUUAGAAUAUAAGGUCCUUAGGGAAGGGACUGCCUAUUACUAUGUGUUUGUGCAGUACCUGGUUAUGUUACCAAAAAUCUAAUAGUAGAAAAUGGUUGCCUGACUGCAUGUAGCAUACAUGGACACUUCUCUGUAAAUAAAAUUGUCUUUCAAUUUAAGCUGCCAGCCCCCAAAAGAAACCGAGAAUGUCCAAUUAAAUAAUACAACAAGAUGUUAUAUGUGAAGCACACUGUCUCCUUACAUAAAUAUAGGCAUCAGCUUCCCAACACCAUGAGAAUAUUUUGCUCAAUAUUUUUUGUACUGAGGCAUAACUGUAUAACCUGACAACUUAUGUAACAGCAUCCUAGGUAUGGUGUAGUACAUUAUCCUGAGAUUGGAUGGUAGAAAUUAUUUAAUGAUUUAAUUAUUAUUUAAAGUGUUUUUGAGACUGAAUCUACAGUACAUAUGCAGACAGAAAUAUAAAAGUGCUUGGGCUUCAACAGAAGACUUCAAGGAGCUAGUCCUUAGCUUUAUUGCUUUGUAUCUGUGAAGGCUCUGAUAAUGCACACGUUUUUUAAGUACAACCUAACAUAAGCCAACUUCUAAAUUCAGCUUCUGGCGACAGCUCCUUUUAUAUUUUCUCUUGCAUGAGCACACACAGCACCAAAAUGCAAUCUACUGUGUCAAAUAUAUGCAUUUUGCAAAUAUAUGGCUGUGUGAUAAAUGGAGUCAAAUCUGGGUUUUUUAGAUUACUUUUAACAACUGAGAAAUGUGUAUAGUUUAUUUUUUAGCUCACGUGUUGCUUGCAAGUUGCCUCUUUCCACAGUGCAGUGUGCUAUGAAGUUCCCUGAGAAGUCUGAACUAGAUUCACCGUUGAAACAACACAGCUCGUCAAACGUCUGUACAAACACUGACAAAUGCCAUUGACCAAAUCCUGCGUGUGUCUAAGUGUCUUGGCAACAUGACCUUGGUGGCACAACGCGCACAGGUUUGUGCAGGUAUAAAAUACAGGAUUAGCCAGAGCGACUUCUGCCCGAGCUGCGGACACAUGUAUGCAUAAUGGAUCCCUGACAUCUUCUUCUCCCCCAUUUUUGUCCCUGCGAGGCCACCCCUGCCCAGCCACGUAUGAAUGAACAGAAGCGUCUUUCAUCCCCCACUUGCCUGGCGCUUCAAAAGGAACUAUGAAAAUAGCAGCAACAAAAAUCCAGCCGCCUGCCAAAAGGCCCCGCACACGUCCCAUUCUCACAGGCAUGCGAAAGGUUGGAGAGCUCAGCAAAAUUUUUAUGUACGGGAGCAGGCCCAAGGAAAACUCACACGCCAUAACCAAUUGUGGACAGAGGAUCAUCUAUCAGCAGACAAAUGCAGGAACUCCAGAAUGUCUCUCCUCAAAUGAAAUAAUAUAUCUUUGAAAGCCAAUGCCCGUUUUAGGCCUGAGGCCCAUAUAUCAAGCCUGAGAGGCUUGUGGAUACGCUCCAGGGCCAUUAACCUUCCACCUGUUUCCCCUUGUCCUUCAGGAUGAGACCCUGCCCUUGAUUUUACUCCCUUCCCCUGUUCAUCUUCCGACAGAGUGUAAAUGUAAAGCAGAGGGCCUGCGAAAUAAUUCAAAGGCAAUGGACCAGGGACAUGGUUACAAAUCUCUGCCACUGGCACUGUGACUUAUGCAGGCAGUUUGUCACACAUGAGCCAGGUGACCUCUGUGACAUAACAGAGAAAAAUAUUGCCCGAGAUCAAAAGAUGAGAUUCAGAGCACUCUAACUAACUCUGGUGUGCAUCGCUGUGCGAGGUGCCAGCCGAGGGCUUCCUCCCUUCUGAACACCGCUUGCUCGCGGGCCACGCUCCUGCUCAUUUCAGUGAGCGCCUUUUCUCUUGUCUCUUCGGAAAUCUUUCCGGUAAUCUGAACAUCAAAAUUUGCCUCCUCCUCCUGAAGCCUCUCUUUUUCAAAAAAGGUAAUUAAAUUGACAAGGAGAUACAGCAAAAUGUCAUUCAGCAGAUAAAAAUUAACAUGUAAAAACCAGUAUUAUUGAAAACGGUGGAAGAGUCACUUUUGCAAAUGGGUCUAUUUUAAUCCAGUAAUUUUUGAAAUGCUAAGUAACACUAAAACUUUGCAAGAGCACAUGCUGUGUCCGGUAUCACAAUGAGAAGUCUUAGAAAUCUAAAACAUUUAUUGGGAUUCAGGUGUCAUGACACUUAAAAUGAGAGUAGAGUUAGUAUUAAAAAAUGAUGUAAUGCACCCAAAUAACACACAUCUGUAAUGAUUGGUAUUUUGCAAAGAUAUAUACUACAGAACCAGAAAAAUGGUCAUUUGAAAUAAAGCCUAAUCCGAUCAAAUUUAAAAAAAAAAAUCUUGAAUUCAUUUGUCAAGCUGUGUGCUACAGAGGAAGUUUCCCAGCUGUUUUGUACAUUCAGGACUUCUCUGCUGGGUGCAGACAAAGGAAUAAGGCCUAAUGCAAUGUUUCUCUUUUGCUCCCUGUAACCUAAUGGUAUGUCUGGUAUGGACAUUUAAUUUUGUCUAUUUCAUAAAUUAAAAAACCCCACAACUGUCACAGUAUCCCUGGCAUGAUGAUGAAAUGAGAAAUAUAACCGUAGCUAGAUCAGCCUAAAUCCCAUUCUAAUCCUAAAUCACUUUGGCACUUGCCAACACCUAGCUGAUGAAAAACUCAGUUUAACCCACAAAUGUAUAUAAAAAUACAUACAUACAGACACACACAAAACUCAGCACAUUGCUUACAAGUGUGCUAAACAUUAUCUCAUCAGAUAUUUAAUUCUGUCCUAUCACACGCUGACUUGGAAAAUUUUGCACAGAGUUCAAGCUCUUACCCAAAAUAAUCUAAAGGGGUAGUGUUCCACUAUGGAAAUAGAUCUAAAUUCACUAAAUCUAAAUGGAUAAAAAAAGUUGAAAUAUGGAUAGGACUUGAGGUUAAAUCAUGCAGUAGUUAUAAAGAAAUGCACGGCUGAAAGUAAUUUCAUAUUUCCUAUUGAAUAAAGCCUGACAUAGAGCAUUACUCUGUUGCAGAACACUGUAACAGGAAAGACAGUAAAUGCAGAAUUAACAUUAUGAAAAUAUUACUGUGAAGUGUUACCACAAGCAUUUGUAAAAAUAGGACUGCUCUUUGAUUUUACUGUGCUAAAAUCUUUUGUUCUUGUUUGGGCUUUGUGAUUACACACACCUUUUCCUCUUUUUAAUAUCUCUAAAGAAAGCCUGCCAGAGACACAACAGUCAGCAACUACAGGAGAGUUUUGUCACUGGUUUCAGUGAACUCCAAUUCAGAUCUUGGAUGUCUUCAUUUUGAAAAUACCUAGAGUGGUAGUUUUUGAUGUAAAACAUAGGUGACAUAUCCAAGAGUUCUGGCAGUCAGAUCUUUAGCUUUCUUUGACACUCCUACUGAAUAUAUUAAUUUGUAUUUAGGUCUGAUUUCACUCAGGCUUUCUGUAUCCCCCUGCCCUUUUUUUAAAAAAUACAUUUGAUGUGUAUCCCUGAAAAAGUUAAUAUUUAAUUUAAAGAGCACCUAGCCCAAUUCGUUGCCUUGUAGAAUAAGUAUGAUCUAGUGCAUCUGCUUUUGUAAUAUUCAUGAAAUUUGGAAAUCAAGGCUAGGUAUCGUAUACUACUCUGCUAGAGAAUUUUCUUGUCUGAGCGUUUGAUAAGUUUUGAAUACCCAAAUGACCUACUAGAAUUUCCAAGACAUAAAGAAACUACUUUUAAAUGUUAUUAUAUGUAUAAAAAUACUAUUAUAUUAAUAUAAUAAAUUUAAAUCUUUAAAAAUGCACAGUCAGAUACACAUGAAAUUAUUUGUGCUGUUUACCCUGUACCAUGUCUUUUUUUGUAUAAAUAGUUA